rnacentral:rRNA from 1 species
CCUACGGGAGGCAGCAGUGGGGGAUAUUGCACAAUGGGGGGAACCCUGAUGCAGCGACGCCGCGUGGGUGAAGAAGGGCCUCGGCGCGUAAAGCCCUGUCAGCAGGGAAGAAAAUGACGGUACCUGAAGAAGAAGCCCCGGCUAACGACGUGCCAGCAGCCGCGGGAAUACGUAGGGGGCAAGCGUUAUCCGGAUUUACUGGGUGUAAAGGGGGCGCAGACGGCGAUGCAAGCCAGGAGUGAAAGCCCGGGGCCCAACCCCGGGACUGCUCUUGGAACUGCGUGGCUGGAGUGCAGGAGGGGCAGGCGUAAUUCCUCGUGUAGCGGUGAAAUGCGUAGAUAUUAGGAGGAACACCAGUGGCGAAGGCGACUUUCUGGACUGUACCUGCCGCUGAGGCGCGAAAGCGUGGGUAGCGAACGGGAUUAGAUACCCUUGUAGUC